rnacentral:Y_RNA from 1 species
GGCUGGUCCAAAGGUAGUGAGUUAUCUCAAUUGAUUGUUCACAGUCAGUUACAGAUCAAACUCCUUGUUCUACUCUUUCCCCCCUUCUCUACUGCACUUGAAUAGUCUAAA